rnacentral:rRNA from 1 species
CAGGCCUAACACAUGCAAGUCGAGGGGYMMYRSGGGUAGCAAUACCUGGCGGCGACCGGCGCAAGGGUGCGUAACGCGUGAGCAAUCUGCCCGUAUCAGGGGGAUAAGCGAUGGAAACGUCGUCUAAUACCGCAUAACACAUUGGAUGGCAUCGUCCGAUGUUGAAAGCUUCGGUGGAUACGGAUGAGCUCGCGAGACAUUAGUUAGUUGGCGGGGUAACGGCCCACCAAGACCGCGAUGUCUAGGGGAACUGAGAGGUUGGUCCCCCACACUGGAACUGAGACACGGUCCAGACUCCUACGGGAGGCAGCAGUGAGGAAUAUUGGACAAUGGCCGGAAGGCUGAUCCAGCCAUGCCGCGUGAAGGAUAAGGUCCUAUGGAUUGUAAACUUCUUUUGAGAGGGAGCAAUAAGGUGUACGCGUACACCGAUGAGAGUACCUUUCGAAUAAGCAUCGGCUAACUCCGUGCCAGCAGCCGCGGUAAUACGGAGGAUGCGAGCGUUAUCCGGAUUUAUUGGGUUUAAAGGGUGCGUAGGCGGUUUAUCAAGUCAGCGUGAAACGCAAGGGCUUAACCCUUGACCUGCCGUUGAAACUGGUGGACUGGAAUGCGGAUGCUGUGGGAGGAAUGUGUGGUGUAGCGGUGAAAUGCAUAGAUAUCACACAGAACACCGAUUGCGAAGGCAUCUCACAAAUCCGUGAUUGACGCUGAGGCACGAAAGUGUGGAGAUCAAACAGGAUUAGAUACCCUGGUAGUCCACACUGUAAACGAUGAUGACUCGCUGUCGGCGAUAUACAGUCGGUGGCCAAGCGAAAGCGAUAAGUCAUCCACCUGGGGAGUACGACCGCAAGGUUGAAACUCAAAGGAAUUGACGGGGGCCCGCACAAGCGGAGGAGCAUGUGGUUUAAUUCGAUGAUACGCGAGGAACCUUACCCGGGCUUGAACGUAAGACGACGACGCAGGAGACUGCGUUUCCUUCGGGCGUUUUGCGAGGUGCUGCAAGGUUGUCGUCAGCUCGUGCCGUGAGGUGUUAGGUUAAGUCCUGCAACGAGCGCAACCCUUACCUUCAGUUGCCAGCACGUAAUGGUGGGGACUCUGGAGGAACUGCCUACGCAAGUAGAGAGGAAGGUGGGGAUGACGUCAAAUCAGCACGGCCCUUAUGUCCGGGGCUACACACGUGCUACAAUGGCGCACACAGAGGGCAGCGACCCCGCGAGGGGGAGCCAAUCCAUUAAAGUGCGUCUCAGUCCGGAUCGGAGUCUGGAACCCGACUCCGUGAAGUUGGAUUCGCUAGUAAUCGCGCAUCAGCCAUGACGCGGUGAAUACGUUCCCGG